UGUUUACAACAUAGCGUCAAUGCACCAGAUCCCAUUAGAACUCUGCAGUUAAGCGUGCCCGGGCUAGAGUAGUACUUGGAUGAGUGACCAUGUGGGAAGUCCUAGUGUUUUACAUGC
rnacentral:rRNA from 1 species